GUUAUCAGAAGUCCAGAAGACAGGCUUUCUUUCUGCUGGCCUUGAACCGGAAGUAAUAAGCCUGGAGCUGCCAGGAGCCGGUGUGUAGGGAGGGCAGUGCCAGAGCGAAGCAAACCAGAGACAGGCCAGCCUGCAAACUGAAGAGAGGCCAGGUCCUGGGGACAUGGAGGAGCCACGAGGCUUUGGGGAGAUGGUUGUUUCUUCCAUUCCGGAGAAUCAUUCAGCAAAAUCUCUGGAGCCUUCAUUGGCUGGACCAGGCCAGAAGGAGCUGCCCAGGCCCUGGUGAGGAGUACUAAAUUUUAUUCUGCAGGCAGCAGAGAGCCACUGCAGGCUCUAAGCUGGGUGUGGCACGUUCAGGUCUGUGAUCUGGGAAGAGUUCCUGGCUGUGUAGUGGGGCCUCGGAGGGCAGGACACCGCCUCAGAGAUUAUCCUGAAGUCCAGCUGUGGCCCCAGGGCCUGCUGUCCAGGAGACACAAAGAGGGCCGAGGGGCGGGAACCCGGAUGUGUUGCAGCGUCACAGCACCACAGAGAGGCACCAGUGGGCUCAGCCUCAGCUGCGCUGCCCAAGGCCAGGCUUGCAGCUCCCUUCAAGGUGCACACAGACCCCGGCCUCCUGCCCAGUCCCCGAGCCUGCUUGCCUCCUAAAGAGCAAGAUGUCAGAAGGAAGGCAGCACCGAAGAUGUGCAAAUGAAGGGCGGAGAAAGAGAAAACUCCUGGCCAGGGGAUGGAGAUCUGCGUUGUACCAUGGAUCCAGUUAUACCUGAGACAAGUUACCACUGGGCUUUGCAGUAGAGGCCUCCAGAGUCCACCUGACAUCGACCACCUUGAUCCACCAGGGGUGGUGGAACCCAGCAGCGACAUUGACACGAAGCCACCGGGAAAAGGCCUGGCGGGAGCUGGCUACAAUGUUGAUGAAUUGUGGCAAGAAUUGAAUCCAUUCUCUUUAUAUAGCAGACCUCAGAAGCCACAAACCCAGGCAUUAAAGCCCGGGGUUGUGCCACUGGACUCUAAGGUUCAAAUCCCAGCUCUACCAGUUACCAGCUGUGAACAGGGCCCUGGGAAGGCUCCUAUAUCUGUCUCUGGCUCUGCUUCCCAUAAAAUGUUGGGAGAUUUUCAGCACUAAAUGCAUAUAACUUAGCAAGGACAGAGUGAUUUCUGAUUUUAUUAUAACAAAUAUAAAUUUAUGACUUGGUAUUUAUUGGUACCAAGCACACAUACAUUAAUUUAUUAUGUGUAUUACACCCCCGAUUUUCACAAGCAACUCUGUAUAGAGAGAAGAACUCUCGGUCACAUCCUACAGAUGAGGAAACUGAGGCCCAGGGAGGCUAAGUCCAGGUUAAGGUUAAGCUCAAGUUCCCAUGGAGUCAGGACUGGGAAUCUCAGCCGGAUGUGACUGGCUCCAAACGUCAUUCUCUUUGUGCUGCACUGGCCAGAUUGGCUUCUCUCAGCUCCCCAGCCAGUGUGGACCGGAAGCGAGUUCAGCUGGGCACGGCUGAGGAGGGUGGGUUGGGCUGGAACCCCGCCCGCCCAUCCACCCCAGCCACGAGGACUCCAUCGGGCAACUGGGGUGGGUUAGCCUGGUCUUAUACUCAGCAUGCCAGGGCUGUAGAAGUUCACGUGCCCACAACCAUGUGACCUUCCCAGGCAAGCGGGAUCCAGUUACAUCGCAGCAGUGGCCCCAAGGAACAAACACAGCUUGUGUCUUCCUCCAAGGGCUUAUUUCCUUUGUCUUGUGAGCAUUGAAAAAUGAAAGGAAUGAUAAGGAUUUGAUGGGGGGGUGCCCUGGAAAAUUCUGCAGAACUUGGGUAACUCAUCCAGAGGAAAGCAAGGGGGAGUUUUCCAACCAAAUCCAAAGGCAGAGAAACCCAACACGAAGGCCUGAGCCCUGUGAGGUCUCCUGGAUUCCUAGGUUCUCUUUAGAAGGCACAGAGGCCCCAGGCCUGGGGCGGAAGUCCCAUAACCCAGUACUGCCACCAGGCUCCUGUGGACAGACCACGAAAUCUCUCCAGGGCUCAGCUUCCUUGGCUACUCUGCAUCAGUAAUGCCAACUCCCAGGCUCUGGGUUGUUACAAAGAAAUGAGAAACUGUGUGUAGACAGUGGUUCUGCUGGGGGGAUUAACACCCUUGGGGACAUAUGGCAACGUCUGGAAACUUUUUUAGUUGUCACACUGGGAAAAGCAACUGGUGAGUGAAGACCGAGGACACUGCCACACACCACACAGUGCCCAGGACACCCUGCCAAAGAAUGGCCCUCUCCAAAGACCCAGGGUGCUGUGGCUGAGCAAGUGCUGGUGUAGAGUCUCAAAUGUUUAGUUCACAUGCUGAUGUUGGUUUUACUGUUCCAUUGGCGCGCAUGUGGGAAGGGGGACAGGAGAACAGGGUGGCCCAGGAAGAAGGCAGAGCUUGCAUGCCAGCUGCCCCUGGAGACAGAUCUGCUGUCCUCCUUCAGACAAUGUUCACAACCCCUGCCCUCAGGAAGUGUUUGGUCCAGAAGGAGAGACAGCCAGCAGACGAAGCAAGCACUUAAAGAAUACUGGUUCCAAAUAUCCACCAAGAGUGAUGAACGGAGGAUGGUGAUUCAAAAGGAGUGAGGUUUGGACACAGAGGAGUCUUGACAUUAUGCUGAGUGGGAGAAGCCAUCGCUGUGUGACUGCAUUGUUACCAAAAGAGCAGGCAGAUCCUCAGACUGAAAGUAGCUGGUGGUUCCCUGAGCUGAAAGAGUUGAGGAAAAAGGCAGAGAGACCGCUAGUGGCUAUAGAAUUUCCUUCUGGGCCAAUGAGAAUGGUAGUGCUGGCUGCCCAGCUCAAUAAUAUACUGCAUGCCAUGGGACUGCACGCUUUAAUGUGUGAACUGGGAGCUACAUGAAUGAAAGCUUAAUAAAGCCAUUAUAAAUAACAAUAAUACUGAUGAAUGGCUAUACUGAUGAAUGAAAUAAGCAACCAGCAGGGCCAUUGUGCUCAGGGGGGAUACAGAUGGCAGGUGACAUCUAAGGAAGAGACAGAGACUAAGUUCUGGUGCAGGGGACAACAUGAUGUGCAGAGUCCCCAGGGCAUGAGCCCGAUGUGUGGUCCUACAAGGGAUCAGCUGCAUGCACCGUGGAGUGGGAGCUGCAGAGAAAGGUGCAGAGGGCUGACUGGGCAGUGACCUUAGGGACCUGGCCUCUAUGCUCAGGACCCUGAGAAGUAUUUCCUCCCUGCCACUCAAUGCUUGGGCAGAUUGUCUGGCUUCCACAUGCAGGGUAAGUUGAUUUGCAGAAACUUUUUCUGUUAUUCCUUUUAGGAGUGUCUUCAAACCCCCAGGGAAGCGCGGGCAGAGGGGAGGGUGCCAAGGAGCUCCUAGUAAUUCAAUCCGGAGAAGCUGUGACCUCUAGCACCCCAGGGUCACACAGCUGCGCACUGGCCGGCCACCCUGUACCAGUGUCCUCUGCCAGCUGGUCUGAGAGGGGGUCUCUGUGCCCUGCUCCAGGAUCUGCCCCCCAGUCCGUCCUGGGGUUCCACCUGUUUCCAGAGCUUCCCAGAAGGGUGAUGCUGACUGUCCCAGCACUGCCUUCCGGGGAAUUUUGUGUUUCCCAAGCCACAGAGAGAUCGCAGUACCAGGGAUGGUACAGGGCCAACCAUGGUGGGAGAUGCCAGAAAUGUCCUGCCACAUGGGCACUGUGCUCUGCACUGGAGGGCAGCGGCACAGUAAGCUUCGUUCCCCAGAAGCUCCUUCCAUCCUGCUGGGGAGCCCUUGGCUCUGCCCUCCCUGGGGCCCACCCCUCUGACCACUCCCCCCUACCCCCAUGCGGGGUCUUCUGAGCUCAGCUACAUCCCACCUGCUACAAUCACCAGGGAGCCCCAUGCCUGGAGGUGCUGCCGCCACAGGCCAGGUCACCACAGUGACACAGGAGACCUGGCAGCUGUUGGUUCUUGCUGGGAGCUGUGGAGGGCACCAGCGUCAUGCCAUCCCCUUGGGUGCACACAGCCUCUCAGGCCGGAUUUAUGCUGCAGGCAGGAGAGCACGAACAUCACCUGCUCUGCAAGCGAGGAGCGGUGACAUCACGCAGAGGGCACAGCCCCGACGGGAGCCCAGCCAGUGGGACCCGAAUCUGGAUUCCUUCCCCAGAUCCCAGGACUUCCUGCCUCUUGGGGAACCUCCGGGCCUGAGGGUAGGCCUACGAGAGCCUGGGCACUGGAAUGGGCAUCUGAGCACUGGGGGUUUGGGGACCCGGGCCUCAGAGGGCUGUGAGAAGUGGCAGGGUACGGUGUCUGGACCAGGACACACAGGAGGCAGAGGCUUUGGGGCACAGGAGAAAGGACUCUGGCUCUCAGUGGGCAGCCCUCAGUUUAAGCAGAUGCCCGUUAAGGAAUGUUUGUAAACUCCAGCCCUUCCUUCCUCCCGUCGGGGACAUCUAUCACCUCCUGGCCUUGGCUGAAGCUAGGGGUACAGUAGACCCUCCUCAUCAACACAGACCUCUGGGCUGUUACCGCAUCCCAGAUGCUGGGAGGGUGGGUCUCCAGCUCCUUAGAUGAUGAACCCAGAGUUGGUCAGUCCCUGCUGCUCGGGACUCAGGUGACUUGGCUUCUCGUUUUGUCCCCCAUUACACUGGAAGGUCCCCAAGGGCAAAGACUGCCUCCCCAUCAGUUGGGGCUCUGGGUUGGGGACAGGUGGGGGCCUAGGGCUGAGGGCUGGCAGGAGAAAAAGAGAGCCAGCUUCUCAAAGCAUCCUGGCCCUAGGGGUGGGGUGGUGGGCACAGGACUCGAUUCUUGACCCUGUGCCAGGCCAGAUAGCCUGGUCCCCUGGAAAGGGGCCAGGAUGGGGCUUGGGUCUGGCACCGCCCCGGGCUCAGUGCCCACCCCAAUGUGGUUCUCUCUGGGGCCUGGAAUAACCUCAAGCAUGGCAACUGGGUCAUUUCCCAGGACCCAGACUUCUUUGUAGGGUUGGCAUGCCCUGUCUUGUCCCUCAAGGUUUUGGUGCUUGUCACUCUCCUUCGCUUGGCCAAGUGUAGGGACAAAAUUAGCUCUCUACUCUCACUCUUGGGGCUCUCCAAGCAGCCAAACCAUCCCAGGGAGGGACCAGAAUUCGGCCUCCUGGGAAUCUGCCCAAGGCUUUUUCCCCUGGUUCCUCUGGGAAAACAUCCAGAAACAGCCUGAAAGGUCUUGGCACAUACGGGUGGGAUCAGGCCCUGCUGGGCCAUCAAGAGAAGCCCCCCGGGGCUCUGGGAACCUGUGAGAUUCCACUGCAGCCAAGGGGGUGAUUUGCACUCAGAGGCCCCCCCCAGGAGGUCUCCCCAGGGACCCCCACUGCGGUCUUGCUCCGCAGGCCAAAUGCAAUUUCAGGGAAACCUCAGAAGUCAAAUCCUCUCCAAAAGUUCGGCCUGGAGCCAGAUCUUGAGUACAGAAAUCCAUCGGCUGUUAAGGAUGGUCAGAAAAAUAGGGGCUCAGCAGACAUGACCCCUGUCUGAUCUUCCCUGUCUGUCUGUGGCCACCCCUUGUUGUGUCCUGGGAGAGCUGAGGACAGGCCACCUGCUCUAGGGACCCACUCUCCAUAACUGGACUUGUGUGUGGGGGUGGGUGGGUAGGGAGUAAGGGCUAGGCAGGGACAAUCCCAGAAGACCCUUUGGCAACCCUCCUCCCCAUAUACUUUGGCGACAUAUGUCCUCAAGACCCAAAGGAAGGUGACAGGAGGGUCUAGGCUUGGCAGCUUGUCAUUUGCCAGGGUCUUGUGGCGCCAUUAAAUGAGGGGCCUAUAAGUCAAGUAGAGAUGAGUUCAAAUUCCACAUUGGACCGGAGCAGUGGCACAGAUCUGUAAUCUCAGCUACUUGGCAGGCAGAGGCAGGAGGAUUCCAAGUUCCAGGUCAGCCUGGGCUA